GCUGCGGUGGCCGAGUGGUCUAAGGCGCUGGUUUUAAGCACCAGUGGAGCAAUCCGCGCGCGUUCAAACCGCGUCCGCAGCA